ACGGAAGGCAGCAGUGGGGAAUAUUGGGCAAUGGGCGCAAGCCUGACCCAGCAACGCCGCGUGAAGGAAGAAGGCUUUCGGGUUGUAAACUUCUUUGACAGGGGAAGAGCAGAAGACGGUACCCUGAAAACAAGCCACGGCUAACUACGUGCCAGCAGCCGCGGUAAUACGUAGGUGGCAAGCGUUGUCCGGAUUUACUGGGUGUAAAGGGCGUGUAGCCGGGAGAGCAAGUCAGAUGUGAAAUCCAUGGGCUCAACUCAUGAACUGCAUUUGAAACUGUUCUUCUUGAGUGCUGGAGGGGCAAUCGGAAUUCCUAGUGUAGCGGUGAAAUGCGUAGAUAUUAGGAGGAACACCAGUGGCGAAGGCGGAUUGCUGGACAGUAACUGACGGUGAGGCGCGAAAGUGUGGGGAGCAAACAGGAUUAGAUACCCUGGUA
rnacentral:rRNA from 2 species